CGCUCCCCGGAGCGCGGGGCUGCGCAGGCGCCUCGGGCCUGGGCUCCCCGACCUCACCUGGGACGCGAAAGGGUUAAAGCAGCGCCUGAAGCCGAGAGCCUGAGGCCGCAGGCGCAUUCUGGCGUUCAGUCUUUUAAGAAACAAAUGCCACAAUUCUAAGAUGCAGCUCAGAAACCCAGAACGUCUGUCUUCAGGAGAACGCUGGAGGAGAAAAUACCACUGCUGUCUGCCCACGCACUAGGAAUGCCACAAAACCCCAACCUGGAAUCUCUCCUGGGAGGAUGGGGCCCAACCUAAGGGACUGAAUCCUGAAUUAAGUUAACUUCUAGAAAGUUCCAUCACAGGCUUAAAGGGAUAUUAAAAAGUUUUGAGCACUUUAUAAUGAAAUAAGUGAGGAAAGAAUAUGCCAGACAUAAUUUAAUAAAAUUCAUUUUUACUUAUUGAUUAAUAAGAUAUAAUGAUAAUACUAUUGAUAUUAAUAUCUUACUAAUACUCUCUAAUUGAUUAAUACACCAAAUCUGAAAGAAACUGCAUUUAAAAACGCAUUCGUGGGUGUUCUUCAAUGUAGCUUAAGAAGUUAGAAGUAUUGGCAGAGGGGGGAGGGUAUGGCUCAGUGGUAGAGUACCUGCUUAGCAUGUAUGAGGUCCUGGGUUCAAUCCCCAGCACCUCCAUUAAAAAUAUAUAUAAGUAAGCAAAUCUAAUUACUCACCCCCGUACCAAACAAACAAACAAACAAAAACAGGUAUUGGAAGACACUCCAGUUUCAGUUAAAUGAAUGAAUGUCAGUAAAUUUCACUGCUUUGGUUGUUCUAUGACCAGAACAUUUCAACCUAAGACAAACUGCCCCCUUAGGAGAACUGUUUAAGCCAGAGAAAGACGGGAGAAAGGCGUCGACUGAUUUAAGGAAGCUUUGGUGCCCUCCGCCAGUGCAUGAGUUAUAAAUAAUGCUUCUGUUACGGUUAAUUGGGAGAAGGGCACACGGAUACUUCCUCUGGCAAUUACAAGGGCCGAGUGUGUACGAGGCCGAGGAUCUGUAAAAUUUUUUCGCAUUAAAAGAAUGUGUGUACCCAUAA